CGGGCGCUCGCGUCUCGGCCUCCUCUCGAGCUCUGGACAGGCGGGAGCGGGGUGAGGCUACAGCGCGCCGGGGUGCCAGCAGGGGGUGCGCGCGCCUCACCACUGGCCCUUCCAGCCUACUAAUUCCUUGCGGAUGUUGUGAGUUGUCAGUGGGGGAAGGUGCUUUUACCUUGCACUUCUGACUCAGUAAAGAGUUAAGUGGCUUCAGAAACUAGAAGACCGGACUCCUGCUUGACUGAGGGAUAAAAUGAACCAUGGAAAGAACAAUGAUGGCAAAUUUCCAAAGUUACAUACCAAGUUGGUGUCAGAAAGGCCUUUGGACUCGGACUGGAGCCAGACCAUCAGUUCUCCUGGGUCUCCAGCUGGCUGACUGCAGAUCUUGGAACUUCUCAGCCUCCAUAAUCAGGUGAACCAACUCCUUCUAGUAAAUCUCUAUAUAUUGGUUCUGUUUCUCUGGAGAACACAGACUGACAGAGUAUACUUAGAAAUCUCCUUAAUUCUUUUCAAUGACUAGAUUGCUGUCCAAAUGAUGAACAUAGCAUCAUUUAAUCAUCUUCAUUGAUACGCCAUUAAGCUGUUUCCAGUUUUCCAGUCUUUUUCUGACCAAUGUAUCAGUAAAUAUCUGACACAUACAUCUUUGUGCACAUAUGCUGCUAUAACUGAAGACCAAGGAAUGUGGCUUAUGAAUCUUAAAGGUGACAGAUAUGUAUUUAUCUAUGCAUGACUUGUGUAACAUCAUAUGCCUUAGAAUGCAAUUUCCCAAAAGGAAAACUCUGUCAUAUGUGUGUUCCGUACCAUGUCAGGCAUGUUGUAGCUCCUUAACAUAUAUUUUAAGACAAUAAUACUUUGCAGAAUAGCCAGUCAAUUCAUAUAACAUAGCUAGCUAAAUACCAGUAGGGACAUUCUCUUUAAGUGGGUCUCUCAAACCACAUAAACAGAAAGAACAUUUUCCGUAAAUCCAAGGAUGUUGGCUAUUCUUUACAGGAAACCAAGUGAGUCUCCUCAAGCUUCUUCUUGUAACAAACACUCACUAGAAUUAUGAUUUUGGAAUCAUUUCCAUUGCAAAUCCCCUCUUUUCCACACCCCUUUAAAAGGCAGCUGCAAUAUUUGGCAUCUAACCAAGGCAUGCUGCACUGACAAUUCUCCAAAUUUUAUUUACAUUUUAUGUGCAGUAUGUUCAAACUCUCACUUUCCCAGGUGCCAGAUGCUGGUUUGGACACACUCCAGUGGAAAGUGCUUUCUUGUAAAAUAAAAAAGGAAAAUGCUGAACAAACCACUUCUUUAUAAGACUUGCACCUAGUAUACCAAAGUUAAGUACCCUAAUAAUGACUUCACUAUUUCCCCAAAAUUGCAAUUCCCCCCAAUUCCCUCCUUACCUACCUCCACACCAAAUACUUUUCCUUUGGCCUCCAUAUGAUGCUGACAGUCCUCUUAGACACCUCUUCAGUGUCCAUUUGAAAACAUCAGGGUGUAGGACUUUAUCUAUCUGAAAUGCUUUAGAUGGUAUCUAGUGUAACCCAUCCAUAGGUGUUUCAAAUAUGAUUUGGAUGAAAAGAUAAAGCAUCUUAACCCAUUUUCAGUAUUUUAGAAGAUAUCUAACAACUUAACGUCUGCUAUGUUAACAGCUUUUACAUGUUUUCACUAACAAGUGAUGCUUUCCAUGUGUUUGAUGGUAAUACUGUCCCUGCAGUGGUACAGAACUUUGGCAUGACAUUAAGAAUUAACUUGGAAUUUGCCUUUGUGAUAGGGUUCUUGCCUGCCUAAAAGCAAUCCCCAAUCCCCAGAUACUACUUAUGAAACAAGCAGCAGUGUUAGGUGAAUAUUAAGACAGUGAGUAUCAUUUUUAGAGACUGCCAAUCCAUUAUCGUGUUAAACUACUCUCCUUUAGCCAGUUUAUGUGGUAACAUUUCACUGAGCUGAAAACCAGUAUAAUUCCUUGUUCUAUCCCAGAAAAAUUGAGAAUCUUAGGCAUGAAAAUUUACAUUUGUGCCAAAGGCUUGUGGUUAUAUUCUGAGGUUUAAAUGAACUCUUGUAAUGCAUGCUAUGAUUUGUGUGUGUGUAUGUUUGUGUGUGGAAAGCCGCUGUAAAAUAACAAAAAUACUCCGCUUGGCUGCCAGAUUUUUCUUUUUCACUUUUUCCAGUAGAUGGCGGUAGAUACCCAAGAAAUAACUUCCAAAGAGCCGGUGGAGGGCGGUGAAAGGGGUGUAUUUUCCUUUCACUGUUAGUCACUGAGCUGACACCCACUGUAGUUCUGUUGCGGGUGGGCAUGGUAUACAUUUUAUUUUUUCGUGUGUGUGUGUGUGUGUGUUUGGUGGAGGGGAGAACGGAAGAUUUGCUACAGACCACCUGUUUAAUCCAGGUUCUCUCUAAGCAUAGGAUAGCAUCUUGCCAGCUGGAAAAAAAAAUCCCUAGAAUUUUUUUCAACUCAGUAGACUUGAUAUAAGCUAUGGAACUGAUUCAGGAGAGCAGCCAGCAUCAGUUUAGAGAUGCCGCGGCAUCUGUUGCCUACAUUCGUGGAGAUGGAAGAGACCCACUCGCUGGUGAGGAACGGCAGCCGCGACCUGGGGACGGAAAUCCCACAGUGCGACCUGCGACCAGACUACAAAUACUUAUGGAUUCCCUCCCGUGUGCCUAGCACUAAAUCAGAAGCUACACAAGAAAUAUGAGGUGGCGUUCUCUAGUUCUCUUGUAGUAGAGAACACAAAACAUACACACAGAGGGACCUAGCCUGAAGUUACAAUUGUAUGGUGAAGGUGGUAAAUCCUACAAGCAUUAUGAGAUUAAUGUGGUACGAAAUGGCCAAAGGGUUAGGCUGUGUGUAGGGAGAGAGAGGAGGAGGGGUAGGAACAAGGAGGGGUAC